GAUUUUAUGCUUGUGAAAGGGCUCCGUUGAUAAUUUUGAUGUCUGCGGCUAAAUUGAAGCUUUCCAUCCGUAUGACCAGACACAUUCUCACCAGCUUCAUAUAUCAAGAUGAGGAGGGGAGACCUGGUAGCUUUUCCUUCUGUUAACUGCUGGCAUCAGUUAAGUGACACAGACAUUUUUCUAUUAAGAACUGAGCUGAGACUGAAGCUGCCUUUUGCAUGAGACUGCGCAGAGGUCGUCUGAAGUUUCUCCAAGUUUUUCUAGCUGAUAUUUAUAAGCCAAAAUCAGUUGGAUUGAAGCCGUCAGCCUACUGCAUGGACUGACUCAAGGUGUACUGUUCUGAAUCCUACCAUUAAGACUUCCUCAACAAGUUACCGACCUUCUGACUGAGUCUCCUCAUCAGCUGACAUGUUUACUCACAUAGAGUUAAUGACAGUGUCUGUAUUAGAGGAUUUGGUAAAGAUGAAAUUAGAUAUUGCAAUGGAGUGCUGAGGACAACAGCUAGCUCACUUAAAAUGCUUGCUAACUGUGUACAAGUACACAAGGUCUGUUUUAUGAAUAAAAACCAACAUCUAUGUCA